UUAUGAAAUAACCUUUAUAUAAUUUGAAACUCAAUUUUAUGUUUGCAUAAAAAGCCGUUUUAAUAUUUGAUGAUGGUUUUGUCUCAGGUGUUAGAAACAUAAAACAAGAAUUUUGACAGAAAACAGAUUAGAUUUAGCGAGCUGGUGACGUUUCUUGAUAAAUUAUGAUAAAAUAACGCUCUUUGAAACUAGGCAAUUAAAAAAUGAAAGAUCUUUUUAAUUAGCUUCAAUCUAGUGUAUCGCUGGAACAUGAUUUAAUAAAACGUCUAUGAAUUGAAGAUAAUUAAGUGAGCUUUCAUCUUAUUGCCAUUCAACGUCGCCGCUGAAAUCGACGGUUUUUGCAAAAAUUCGAAAAUGUCACAGUCACGAAAUGCAAUAAAAAUCGGCUUCCAGGUUAAGACAACAAAAUUGAAGUUUUGUGAACUUUAGAACGUUCCUAAAUGUGCAAAAACGUGUUUUUUUUCGGUGGAAAAGUUCGGUUUGAAAAAAUUGAGGUGCGUAGUGUUCUAUAAUUUAACUCUGGUAACUGUAAUAACUCCGCGAAAGUUGUAGGAAAUUAUGUAACUUUCCAUUUUGUCUUAUUUUUACCUACGUGCCAGGACUCAUCUCGCUUCUGUGUGUUGCUCUCGAACAGGAUUAAAAAAGCGCAUGAUAUCCUGUCCAAUUAUGCAUGAUUGGACUAGAUUUGCGUCAGUUUAAUAUCAGCGCGCGCGAUAUUAUACGUAAAUUGAUAGUAACUGGUAGUGGAAGCAAGAUAUUGAUUAAAAUGGUUUUAAUAUGCAAACGGAGUCUUACUGCCAGAAAUAACUCGGCAAUCACAUCUCACUCUUCGUUUCCCGUCAAUCUCUUAUCCCAGUCGAGUCGAGCAAUUCACCUAUGACAUUUCAUUCGCACCAAUCAAAACUCUCUCGUUUUUAUUUAUCCAAUUAUUUGCGGAAUCUCAUCUCGCCGGAACAUGUUGCACAAAAGUUAACUUCGAUAAACCACCAGGUUGCACUAUCUGCAUUAAUUUAUUUGGAUUCAUAUUUCUGUCUUUUUGCGAGUUCUGGCAAUAAAAGUUUUGUGCAAAAUGUCGGAAUUAUCUGAUCUGUCAGUAAAAUACUGCAGUUGUGUUUCGAAAAGUUCGUUUUGACGAAGUUGGCGUUUCGAGUGUUUGCAUUAUGGAAUUUUAAGUAAUGGCAGUCUCAAACGGAAACUCACUUACUGUUUGCUCCUAUAAAGACGCGGCUAAAUCUCAAGUUUAAUUACAGUAUCUCUAUAGUUGGGUUAUAAACUCUUUAAUGUUGGCGCAAACGUACCAUUACGAAGGAAUCACAUCACACCGGUAUGCUCACGCUAAAUUUAAUUGAUCGGAUUUAGGGUUACUGCUGAUAAAGUGACAGCAACGAGCGGGGAUAAAUAUUUUAUUAUAAGUUAUUGCCCUGAUUCCAACUUUAAACCAAAAUUGGAUCGGUUUGUGUGCAAGUUGUUUAAUAAAACAUGCCAACGGACUAAUAAACUUGCCUGAUGAUACGACAACACUGGAAAUCUAUUUGAAAAUGUUGUGACAGUAUUUAAUUAUUAGCCAUUCCAGAAAUAAUGCAACCUGACAACGAAAUUUUCGAAAUAAUUUUAGUAUGUAAAAUUUCGUUCGUUUAUACUUGACAUGUUUUAUGACAAAAGAGCGUUUUUUGUUGUAGAUUUGAAUUGGGAGAGAAUAAUUGAAGUAAUUCAUGUGGUUCUAAAAUUUAGAUACAUUGCCUUGAAGGCGAUAAUAUAAAAUACAACUGUUAAAUAAUUUUUGAAGAAUGUUUUUCUAUUACUUAUUAUCAGUG